CUUAUGUAAACAUUCUUCAGUAAAAGUCAAUUACAGUUAUAUCAGGUAAAGUAUUAAUCAAUUAAUAAUUCUUAAUACAGAAUUAUAAAUAGAGCACUACACUGUGCAACUGUGUCCCUUUAUCUAGUGAUGAUAAUUAUUUUGUUAAAAAGAGAUGUUCAAUAUCUAACCAUGUGUUGAUAUCCUAACCACGUGACACUGACGUAAUACAUCUGAGGUGUAGUUACAACUAAAUCCGCCAUGUUGGACCUAUGAUUCAGUUGUGGAUGUUUACAUAAUAUGGGGUUAUAAUGAAUUGCUUUCCUUGUAGGAUAUACUAUGGCCAACAACGUUAGUAGUAACUGGAUUUACAUGCGGAGAAAACUUUUUGCUUCAUAAGGGAAAUAUGUGUGUUGUACUAUUUGAAGGAAUUUCUGUGUAAAAUUCAUAUGGGUCAAUUCAGACGGAUUUAACCACUAUCACCGCCGCCGCUGCCAUCACCAUAAACAUCUCCAUUUCCGUCACCGCCACUGUCCGGAACCACAGUUCUGCUCAGGCGGAUUGUGUAGUCACCAUCACUGUCCGGAACCACAGUUCUGCUCAGGCGGAUUGUGUAGUCACCACCACUGUCCGGAACCACCGUUCUGCUCAGGCGGAUUGUGUAGUCACCACCACUGUCCGGAACCACAGUUCUGCUCAGGCGGAUUGUGUAGUCACCACCACUGUCCGGAACCACAGUUCUGCUCAGGCGGAUGAAAUCGCCACCAUACACUGGAAAUUAAGUAAAAGAAGAAUCUGAAUCAGUUUUAUGUUCCGGCAAAAUAACCUGUUAAAAAUAGAAACAGGAAGCUUUAAAAUGCGAUCACUCUUACAUGCAUUGUACCAAAAAACAACAUUGAAACAAGUCAAAAAGAAAAAUUAAAUAAAUUAACUAAAAAGUAUUUUGUAUUCAUUUCAGACGGAGGAACAAAGGAGACAUUUACUAUUUACAUAAUAGUAUAGUAUUCAUGAGGAUUUUUUGUCUUUGAUUUGGUUUCGUUCUGUUUCUGUCUUAAAAUAUUUUAUUCUCCUCAUUGUCUGUUACCGAACAAGUAGAGUCAUGGAUAAAUGCAUAUCAUCUUAUUUUGCACUUCUUUUUACACGUAAAAUAUUUCGAAAUGCAUGUAUUUUAUUAUGACAGACGUCAACUGUACGUAUAUAUAUGUAUCUAUGUUGCUUAUACUGGGGGAAUAAGAUAUUUGUAUCGUACAAAAAGACACGCAAUCAGGGGACUGACUUUAUUCAGUAUAUUAAUUCCGGAUAUAUAUGUAAUACAUCUAUGCAACAAAACGAAUCGUUUAGUUUGAAAUUCUUAGUAAAUCUAUCAUAAACGUAUGUACUAUAAACAAGUGGCAGCAAAAAAAAAUGUUUAUUUAUUUACUUUUAAUAUUAUUUAUUUAUUAUUUUUCUAUUGUCACUGAUUACAAUAUAUCAUUGAAUAAUCUACUUGAAUGCGUGUUUUUGUAUAAUUCUCAACUAUUUACCGCCAUGAUUCAGUAUAGUAUAUUAUUAAUGGAUAUAUUGUGUGGAAUUGUCAAGAUGAUUUAAUUUACAUUACACAGUUUUAUACUCAAGACAAAACAUUUUCCUCAUUUAUUUCACUUAACCACGGGGUAUAUCGUUGCUACUCGCUUUAUGGAUUCCGACGGAAUCCAAAAAGUGAGUAUCAUGUAGACGGAAUCCAAAAACGAGUAUCAUGUAAACGGAAUCCAAAACGCGAGUAGUAACGAUAUACCCCGUGAUAACUUCAUUCGCUGUAUAUGUCGGUGUACAAAAUAUAGCACAUGCCAUCGUCACACAGAGCGCUGUAUGUGUACACAUUUGCACAUAAACGUUCGAUUACGCGACAGGACUAACACAACGACUAGGACUGUAUGUCACAAUAGCCUGGUAUGAAACUAAAAAUAAACGUUUAGAUUUGUAAUAUUUAUUACGUUGUAAUUAAUUAGCUAAUUUAUUCAUUUUUUCUGUUUUUAUGGCUUUCUUCCAAUUGCAAUAUAUAAUUGAAUAUCUUACGGACGUCACAUAUCGGAUGUAGCCUGCAGUAGAAUAUAAACUACACUGGACAUUAAAGUGUUAAUCGAACUCCCUUACCUCGUUGUAUAUGUCCUCGCACAAAUACAACACAGCACACACGGCCUGUCAUCGCCACAUAGAUCACUGUUAUUAUCGUCGUUCUAUUCGUAAUCGUCACAUUGAUGGUCACGUCGUCUGUAACGAAAUAACGACUGCUAAAGUGGCGAUGUUAAUCAAAUAAAAUAUUCAAUAUCCAUGCUCUAUUAGAAAUAGACAGUCGAGAAAUGUUUUCAAUGCUACGCUAGAAUAGAAGCAGCUUUACGCAGAUCACAUUCUAAUGUCGAUGAUUCUAGCAAUAUUGUAUUCCAUAGGAGGACUAAACCAUGCAAAUAAAGAAAGGAUGACACUCAAUAUUUCUUGAAGAAAUUGAUAACCAUAACUAAAAUAUGCAGCUGUACUACACAUAUAUGAACAGUAAAAACUCCGCUAAGUAUACAUGCAACAAUUUACCGUAUCCCCAGCCCCUUUCAAUCCCCUGCACCCUUUCUAUAUAUUUUCUAUGCACAUGCUAAAAUUAAUUAAAUGUUCAAUGAUAUAUAUCCAAACAGCAAUAAGUAUUGUCAGUACUGUUCCAUAGCUACUUUGUCUACAAGGAGACAGAUUUACACAAGUACUUAGUACUUGUUUCUUAAUCCUUUUUGAAAUCAUAUUGUAUAUAUUAUAUUGCCAUGUAUUAUUGAAUAAAAUAAAGUUUAAACUAACUUACCAUCAAGUAAUGAUCUUUC